rnacentral:siRNA from 1 species
AGGGAUACUCACGUGGUCGCUUUA